CUAGGGAGGUAAUAGGACAAACACUAACAUAGCUGAAACAAGUAUUUCCUCCAAAGACUGACUGCUUCAGACUGUUUUUCUUACUCAGAAUAUCUAGAGUUCUUGGUUACUCCCAGGAACAUUGUUCUCUGAUUUUCUCCAGUUCCUGAAGGAUAAUUUGGCUGCCUGUGCAAGCUCGAUUUGAGUGUGAUACCACAGCUGCAGAAGCCCAUUGAUAAGUGGUGGUGAGCAAAUCAUUGCAUUUUUUUCAGGGCUCAGCUGUUUAAAAUAUACUGAAUGCAAAAUCACUGGGCUGUUUUCCACUGGACUCUCACAGAAGCAUGGGAAAGACCCUCAGAUCAGAGACCAGACUGUGGGGGCCUAUACCUCACUGCAGCUGCAGUUUGAAAAGUGAAGUGUGGCCUGUGAGAGCAGGCUGAGUCAGAAAGAGAGGAAGAAAGGUCAUUGCUCACCCCUUUGCACAGCGGAUUGAGUUGGACAAAUGGACUGGAGUGCAUAUUUUUGUCUUUUUUUUCUCCCCACUACGUAAGUCUAGAAGCCUUAAAGAAGACAUCCUCCUGCACUUGUGUGAUGGGACUCCCAAAAAUGCUUACUGCUUGCCUGGCUUAAGGGAGUAUUGUUAGAGUAUGUUGUUUAAUGUGCUCUGUGAAUGUCAAAAAAGCUUUUCUGUAGCCAAAUACACCAUCUUUUACACAAGCAAAAAAUUAUCCAAUUAAGUCAAAAAAGGAGUUUUAGAGGUGAAGAAUGUGCAAAUUUGGAGAGACCUUUUUUCAAAAUACACUUAAAAAUAGCUACCGGAAUACUUCUACUUUUUUUAGUGUAGCAUUCUAUGAUGAUUUUUGUGCUACCAAAAAACGCAGUCUCUGGAACCUAUACAUUUGAAGCUAUUUAGAUAUUCACUCCUAUGAGAACAGACUGGAGUUGAGAUUCAGUUGCCCAACCACAGGUGUCCAGUGCUUUUUCUGAUGCUCAGUGUACCCAAAAUGUCUGCACAGUGCAAGCAGAUGUAAUGCCUGCAGGAUCCCUACCUGCAGGGAUCUUGUACUCUGUUAGAAAAAGACAGCUGAGCAGGACAACCUACGCCAAUAAAAUGUCUCCA